AUGGAUCCAAGCUAUCACAGGAGGUCACAGAUGGAGGAUGAAUUCAUGUUAUUUGUCUUCCCUACCAUGGAAGAAGGAAGAGAGAAAAAACCAAUGCAUACAUCUAGUCUUACAGGAGCUGCUUAUGUACAGGAAAUCUUAAAUGGGCAUGAAAGCUUAUGCAGAAGGCAUUUCAGAAUGGAGGCUUACAUCUUUCAUGCUCUAGUUGAGAAGCUGCGUGAGAAUGAAAUACUUGAAGAUUCAACAAUAGUCUCCUUGGAAGAAAAGGUUGCGAUCUUUUUAUAUGCAGUUGCAAAAAAUGCUAGUAAUGAAACCAGGUCAUCAAGUCCUUGA
rnacentral:rRNA from 1 species